CGGGUUGGAGUCCCUCCUCUAAUGAAACAAUCCAGAUCCAUCGUCCAUCAUUUCUCUGCCCAAUGAAGAGUGGAUAAAAAGCAUCUCAUAGCUAACACCUUUGUCAAUAAACAAUCCGCUUAACAGCAUAUCAUUCUUUAAAAAAAAUUUCCUUCAAAGGGGCAGAAAAGUUAUCCAAAUUGGGUUACUGAUUUAUGGGUCUCGGGUUACCCAAUUACCCAUUUUGUUCCGUGCGGGCAGGCGCAGGCCCGAGGCUUCAGUUAAGCACUGUGAACGAUCCAAAUUACCCUCCUAAGAAUCCAUGGAAAAGAAACAAGAAAUGGUUGAUUCUGAAGGGAGUUCUUAUAUCAGUAUUUGAAAUUCUAAUGCUCCGAUUAAAAACCCUUGCGGAUUUCUCUCAAAUCAACCACAGUUAUGGAUUUACAGGAAUUUAAGCUUCUCUUUUGCAAUUUUUUUUUUCGAAGUAUAUAUUUCUUCAUGUAUUUUGGUGGAGUUAUUAGGUUUGAAUGUUUCCUAUGGCUAUGGGGAAAUGGAUUCUGAGGCUUAUUAUUCAAGGGUUUUCUAAACAGAUUGGGGUGCUUCCGAUCCUGACCUGAAAAUGUGACAGAGAAGGUCAAUUCUAAACCUUGUCUAUUACAUGUUUGAUUUUAAGUGUCAAAGAAAGUUGGCAUUGGCUGUCUCAAUUUUGAUUCGAUUGCUUAUGCACCUUGAAUUACCCGUUACAGUUAUGAACCAAAAACCUUAUACUGCAUUGUCAAUCGACUUUUUUUUUUUUUAAACCUUUUGCCAAAUUCUAAAACUAGGACGACUUUGGACAACAGGGCAAUGGCCAAUGAUAGUGAGUUUAUGCAGAAUUAGGAGCUUAUUGAUGUUGUUGAAUCAUUUGUUCUUGAUUAUUUUUUCUUCUUUAGUAGUUAAUCUUUGUAUGUUGUAUGCAAUUGGAAAUGAGAUGGUUUGCUUAUACUGAAUUCCUAUAUUCGAAUGCCAGAAAAAGGGAGAGGAAAACAUUUCAGGCUUGGAAGUUUGCGAGAUAGGAUCCGCUGCUCGUACGAUCACCUAGUUGUACGAGUCAGCAUCCAACACCUGUCCUUCUUUCUGCCAUUACAAGGAUAAAAAGGGGUAUAUUUGGAAAUAAAAAGAACAGAUGUUGGAUGCUGACUCAUACAACCAGGUGAUCAUACGAGCAGCUGAUCAAUUUUCAAGUUUUCCAAAGGAGUGGGUAUAGUGGAUGAAGUUUCAUGACAACAUAGAUAACACAGUGAUAUCAUUGUUGUCCAGCAAAGUGGCUAGUAGGAACUUCUUCCAAUUAGUUGGGGGUGGUUGGUGGAUUUCACAUGUUUGCUCUUUUAUCUACCAAUCCAAAUGAGAACAUUGUAAAUCCAAGAUUGAACUCAUCCUCUCACUAAAUUGCUUCCUCUGAGUUGAAAAUUUAUGGAUUAUGAAGAUCUCCCUCUUCAUGGUUUUGUGGAAAUAUGAUCAUCACAUCAAACUCUUUCAAGACAGCUGUAUAUAUUUUGGCAGUUGUAUUGAGUAUUGUACACAUAUUAAAAUUAUGCUUCUGAUGCCUCCACUGGAAUUCUUGGUUCAUAUAAACAAAUCCAAUAGUCAUCUCUACUUAGUUUUCAUAACAGACCAAUAGGUCUCUCUAACCUGUCUCCAUAUGAUAUAGUUCAUAUCUGCAAGUGGCACAAAGAUCCUAUCACCUUCAGGUUCUUGCCCUGUUUAAUUACCUGUAUCCAAUCAAGGAGGCCCAAUUCUAUGAAAUAAAUAUGGGCUUAUGCUUGGAUUUAAGGUGCAUAUACUUUCAUGGAUGCUCUGUAUAUAUAUGAUGAAUCUAUGUCUUUUCAAAUAUACUAAAUUCUGUACUUCAUAGAUCCCAACCCUCAUGCCAUGAGGAAAGGGAGAAACAAUACAACUGAACAAGAAGAAACAAAAACUUCUAUUAACUCUAUACAAUUCUAAUAAUGACUUCAUCUCAGCUGUACUACUUGAUCUAAAAAAUAUUGGGAACAUCUCUUGAAGCAGAGAAAGGUGUGGUUCGCCUUGAGCUUAAAACAGGGGAUGAGUCCUUUUUGCUGUGAACUUGCUCUGUUUGGAGUGCUGCGCCUUUGAAUUUGAUGUUUCCUUCCUGUGCAGGGGCUGUUGUUUCAUGAACAGUUUCAGCAGUCAUAUCUCUGCCCACAGGCAACUGAAAAGGAGGAAGCAAAUCAUUGGGGAAGAAGUUGCAGUUGAGGGUUCCUUCACAAGUAACUGUUUUCUGGGUAACAACUUGCUUUUGGGUCCUAUAUCCAUUGACAGGCAACUGGUGAGGAUGAAGAAAAUCUGUAGGAAAGAAGUUGUAGAGAAGGUUGGACAUUGAUAGUUGCAGCAGAGAAAGCUUAUGAGGAGGAAGAGACUUGAAUUGAAUCGUUUGGUUUGAAAUGUCUAGACCUUCCACUGGGUUUAUAUAAAGAGAGAGAGAGAGAGAGAGAGAGAGAGAGAGAGGCGUGUUGGCGUGGGCUCCAAGGUACUUUCAUUGAUGGUUGUGGAGAGGACUCCAUGGAAUUGGAACCUUUCGACAGAGUACAGAGCAUUUGCUGUUUUCUUAUUAUUAUUAUUAUUAUUAUUUUUUUUUUUUGGUAAAGAGAGCAUAUGCUGCUUGCCAUCUAGAAAGUAUAGGAAAGUCAGCAGAAAGCCUGAAACGCUAUUAGCCUUCUUCCUAACGUGUUUUCAUUUCUUUAUUUAUUCCUAGUAUUUUUCACCCCUUCGAGGUUUGGCCACUUGAGCCCAAAAACAAAGAAAGAAGGGUUUUGAAUCUUUC